rnacentral:rRNA from 1 species
UACAGAGGGUGCAAGUGUUGUUCGGAAUUAUUGGGCGUAAAGGGUGCGUAGGCGGUUUGGUCAGUCAGUUGUGAAAGCCCUGGGCUUAACCCAGGAAUUGCAUCUGAUACUACCAAGCUAGAGUGCGAAAGAGGAGAGCGGAAUUCCCGGUGUAGAGGUGAAAUUCGUAGAUAUCGGGAGGAACACCAGUGGCGAAAGCGGCUCUCUGGGUCGACACUGACGCUCAGUGCACGAGAGCGUGGGGAGCAAACAGG